rnacentral:rRNA from 1 species
GCUGGCGGCAGGCCUAACACAUGCAAGUCGAGCGAGAAAGCCCUUCGGGGUGAGUACAGCGGCGGACGGGUGAGUAACGCGUAGGAAUCUACCCAGUAGUGGGGGACAACUUGGGGAAACUCAAGCUAAUACCGCAUACGCCCUAUGGGGGAAAGCGGGGGACCUUCGGGCCUCGUGCUAUUGGAUGAGCCUGCGUCGGAUUAGCUAGUUGGUGGGGUAAAGGCCCACCAAGGCGACGAUCCGUAGCUGGUCUGAGAGGAUGAUCAGCCACACUGGAACUGAGACACGGUCCAGACUCCUACGGGAGGCAGCAGUGGGGAAUAUUGCGCAAUGGGGGCAACCCUGACGCAGCCAUGCCGCGUGUGUGAAGAAGGCCCUAGGGUUGUAAAGCACUUUCAAUUGGGAAGAAAAGCUGCAGGUUAAUAGCCUGUAGCCGUGACAUUACCUUUAGAAGAAGCACCGGCUAACUCCGUGCCAGCAGCCGCGGUAAUACGGAGGGUGCGAGCGUUAAUCGGAAUUACUGGGCGUAAAGCGCGCGUAGGCGGUUGAUUGAGUCGGAUGUGAAAGCCCUGGGCUUAACCUGGGAACUGCAUUCGAUACUGGUCGACUAGAGUACGAGAGAGGGAGGUAGAAUUCCACGUGUAGCGGUGAAAUGCGUAGAUAU